UUAAGAGACUAAGCGUACACGGUGGAUGCCCUGGCAGUCAGAGGCGAUGAAGGACGUGCUAAUCUGCGAUAAGCGUCGGUGAGGUGAUAUGAACCGUUAUAACCGGCGAUUUCCGAAUGGGGAAACCCAGUGUGUUUCGACACACUAUCAUUAACUGAAUCCAUAGGUUAAUGAGGCGAACCGGGGGAACUGAAACAUCUAAGUACCCCGAGGAAAAGAAAUCAACCGAGAUUCCCCCAGUAGCGGCGAGCGAACGGGGAGGAGCCCAGAGCCUGAAUCAGUGUGUGUGUUAGUGGAAGCGUCUGGAAAGGCGCGCGAUACAGGGUGACAGCCCCGUACACAAAAAUGCACAUAUUGUGAGCUCGAUGAGUAGGGCGGGACACGUGGUAUCCUGUCUGAAUAUGGGGGGACCAUCCUCCAAGGCUAAAUACUCCUGACUGACCGAUAGUGAACCAGUACCGUGAGGGAAAGGCGAAAAGAACCCCGGCGAGGGGAGUGAAAAAGAACCUGAAACCGUGUACGUACAAGCAGUGGGAGCCUCUUAAUGGGGUGACUGCGUACCUUUUGUAUAAUGGGUCAGCGACUUAUAUUCUGUAGCAAGGUUAACCGAAUAGGGGAGCCGAAGGGAAACCGAGUCUUAACUGGGCGUUAAGUUGCAGGGUAUAGACCCGAAACCCGGUGAUCUAGCCAUGGGCAGGUUGAAGGUUGGGUAACACUAACUGGAGGACCGAACCGACUAAUGUUGAAAAAUUAGCGGAUGACUUGUGGCUGGGGGUGAAAGGCCAAUCAAACCGGGAGAUAGCUGGUUCUCCCCGAAAGCUAUUUAGGUAGCGCCUCGUGAAUUCAUCUCCGGGGGUAGAGCACUGUUUCGGCAAGGGGGUCAUCCCGACUUACCAACCCGAUGCAAACUGCGAAUACCGGAGAAUGUUAUCACGGGAGACACACGGCGGGUGCUAACGUCCGUCGUGAAGAGGGAAACAACCCAGACCGCCAGCUAAGGUCCCAAAGUCAUGGUUAAGUGGGAAACGAUGUGGGAAGGCCCAGACAGCCAGGAUGUUGGCUUAGAAGCAGCCAUCAUUUAAAGAAAGCGUAAUAGCUCACUGGUCGAGUCGGCCUGCGCGGAAGAUGUAACGGGGCUAAACCAUGCACCGAAGCUGCGGCAGCGACACUAUGUGUUGUUGGGUAGGGGAGCGUUCUGUAAGCCUGUGAAGGUGUACUGUGAGGUAUGCUGGAGGUAUCAGAAGUGCGAAUGCUGACAUAAGUAACGAUAAAGCGGGUGAAAAGCCCGCUCGCCGGAAGACCAAGGGUUCCUGUCCAACGUUAAUCGGGGCAGGGUGAGUCGACCCCUAAGGCGAGGCCGAAAGGCGUAGUCGAUGGGAAACAGGUUAAUAUUCCUGUACUUGGUGUUACUGCGAAGGGGGGACGGAGAAGGCUAUGUUGGCCGGGCGACGGUUGUCCCGGUUUAAGCGUGUAGGCUGGUUUUCCAGGCAAAUCCGGAAAAUCAAGGCUGAGGCGUGAUGACGAGGCACUACGGUGCUGAAGCGACAAAUGCCCUGCUUCCAGGAAAAGCCUCUAAGCAUCAGGUAACAUCAAAUCGUACCCCAAACCGACACAGGUGGUCAGGUAGAGAAUACCAAGGCGCUUGAGAGAACUCGGGUGAAGGAACUAGGCAAAAUGGUGCCGUAACUUCGGGAGAAGGCACGCUGAUAUGUAGGUGAAGCGACUUGCUCGUGGAGCUGAAAUCAGUCGAAGAUACCAGCUGGCUGCAACUGUUUAUUAAAAACACAGCACUGUGCAAACACGAAAGUGGACGUAUACGGUGUGACGCCUGCCCGGUGCCGGAAGGUUAAUUGAUGGGGUUAGCGGUAACGCGAAGCUCUUGAUCGAAGCCCCGGUAAACGGCGGCCGUAACUAUAACGGUCCUAAGGUAGCGAAAUUCCUUGUCGGGUAAGUUCCGACCUGCACGAAUGGCGUAAUGAUGGCCAGGCUGUCUCCACCCGAGACUCAGUGAAAUUGAACUCGCUGUGAAGAUGCAGUGUACCCGCGGCAAGACGGAAAGACCCCGUGAACCUUUACUAUAGCUUGACACUGAACAUUGAGCCUUGAUGUGUAGGAUAGGUGGGAGGCUUUGAAGUGUGGACGCCAGUCUGCAUGGAGCCGACCUUGAAAUACCACCCUUUAAUGUUUGAUGUUCUAACGUGGGCCCCUUACCGGGGUUGCGGACAGUGUCUGGUGGGUAGUUUGACUGGGGCGGUCUCCUCCUAAAGAGUAACGGAGGAGCACGAAGGUUGGCUAAUCCUGGUCGGACAUCAGGAGGUUAGUGCAAUGGCAUAAGCCAGCUUGACUGCGAGCGUGACGGCGCGAGCAGGUGCGAAAGCAGGUCAUAGUGAUCCGGUGGUUCUGAAUGGAAGGGCCAUCGCUCAACGGAUAAAAGGUACUCCGGGGAUAACAGGCUGAUACCGCCCAAGAGUUCAUAUCGACGGCGGUGUUUGGCACCUCGAUGUCGGCUCAUCACAUCCUGGGGCUGAAGUAGGUCCCAAGGGUAUGGCUGUUCGCCAUUUAAAGUGGUACGCGAGCUGGGUUUAGAACGUCGUGAGACAGUUCGGUCCCUAUCUGCCGUGGGCGCUGGAGAACUGAGGGGGGCUGCUCCUAGUACGAGAGGACCGGAGUGGACGCAUCACUGGUGUUCGGGUUGUCAUGCCAAUGGCACUGCCCGGUAGCUAAAUGCGGAAGAGAUAAGUGCUGAAAGCAUCUAAGCACGAAACUUGCCCCGAGAUGAGUUCUCCCUGACUCCUUGAGAGUCCUGAAGGAACGUUGAAGACGACGACGUUGAUAGGCCGGGUGUGUAAGCGCAGCGAUGCGUUGAGCUAACCGGUACUAAUGAACCGUGAGGCUUAACCUU
rnacentral:rRNA from 2 species